rnacentral:rRNA from 1 species
CCUUACCAGGUCUUGACAUCCUGAGAACUUAGCAGAGAUGCUUUGGUGCCUUCGGGAACUCAGAGACAGGUGCUGCAUGGCUGUCGUCAGCUCGUGUUGUGAUAUGUUGGGUUAAGUCCCGUAACGAGCGCAACCCCUGUCCUUAGUUGCCAGCACGUAAUGGUGGGAACUCUAAGGAGACUGCCGGUGACAAACCGGAGGAAGGUGGGGACGACGUCAAGUCAUCAUGGCCCUUACGACCUGGGCUACACACGUGCUACAAUGGGAAGUACAAAGGGUUGCGAAGCGGCGACGUGGAGCCUAUCCCAUAAAACUUUUCGUAGUCCGGAUUGAAGUCUGCGACUCGACUUGCAUGGGGUCGGAAUCGCUAGUAAUCGCGAAUCAGAAUGUCGCGGUGAAUACGUUCCCGGGCCUUGUACACACCGCCCGUCACACCAUGGGAGUGGUUGCUCCAGAAGUGGUUAGUCUAACCUUUCGGGGGGACGAUCACCACGGAGUGAUUCAUGACUGGGGUGAAGUCGUAACA